AUUCUAUCAAGAGUAGGCAUACUUAUAACAUUAUAUUUAAUCAUUUUUCAGUGGUAGACCAUUGAUAGAAAAUAUCAUGCAGAAGGUUGGGGUAGACACAAGAAUGUUUGAUAGGCAUAUGAAAACACAUCUGGGAGGAAAUGCAUCACUCUGACAUUGUCAGUGUGAGUUCCCUGUUCAAGAAAUAGAGAACUCAAGAAUUCCAGGGAAUUUGUCAUACACAGUAAUGACACUUGAAGAAGUAUCAAAAGAGAGAGUAGUUAAAAGCUCUUUUAUAAGCUUAGUAAAAACAGAUCAGAUUUCAGUUUCAAGCCAACUUUAGGGAAACAUAAAUUCAACAUGAACAGCACUAGAGCUCCACAUCAAUUAUCAGCAAAAGAUUACAAAUGAUGUCUGUAGCAGGCAUUUUAAGGGUUCAAUAAUUAAAUUCCUCUUUGCAAAAAUGGCAUAUCUACCAAUACAAGAAGCAUCAGGCACAAUAUUGAAUCAAAACUCACCCAUUUACAAAGCUUAUGAUCAAAAUGGAGCAAGGUAUAAUACCAAGCAACCAGUAAAUAUUUCAUGUUACCUUCUCAAGGCCACCACGA
rnacentral:misc_RNA from 1 species